GUGCGUACCUACAAGAAAUCGCAACGCAAACAAUGGUUUGUGGAAUGAUUGAUUGUGUUGAGGACGAUGAUGCUAUGAAAUGAAGUAGCGUUGAUGCCUAGAUACACAUAUAGACGUUAGGGUUUAAAAUGUUGUAUCAAAAUUUUGUUAUGUUAUCAUGUUGUUUUGUUAAACUUGUCGUAUUUGAAUUUCUUGUAAUGUUGACUAUUUGAAGUUAUGAAAUGAAAUGAAAUUUGGAUUUUCUAAAUAUUGUCACAAAUAGCGUUAUGAUGUC
rnacentral:lncRNA from 1 species